GUCAGUCUGGCUCAGCGGGUAGAGUGUCAGCCUUCAGACUGAAAGGUGUUGGGUUCAAUUCCAGUGAAGGGCA
rnacentral:tRNA from 1 species